CUAGCAUAUCAAUAAGCGGAGGAAAAGAAACCAACAGGGAUUGCUCUAGUAACGGCGAGUGAAGCAGCAAUAGCUCAAAUUUGAAAUCUGGCGUCUUCGACGUCCGAGUUGUAAUUUGUAGAGGAUGCUUCUGAGUAACCACCGACCUAAGUUCCUUGGAACAGGACGUCAUAGAGGGUGAGAAUCCCGUAUGCGGUCGGAAAGGUGCUCUAUACGUAGCUCCUUCGACGAGUCGAGUUGUUUGGGAAUGCAGCUCUAAAUGGGAGGUAAAUUUCUUCUAAAGCUAAAUAUUGGCCAGAGACCGAUAGCGCACAAGUAGAGUGAUCGAAAGAUGAAAAGCACUUUGGAAAGAGAGUUAAAAAGCACGUGAAAUUGUUAAAAGGGAAGGGAUUGCAACCAGACUUGCUCGCGGUGUUCCGCCGGUCUUCUGACCGGUCUACUCGCCGCGUUGCAGGCCAGCAUCGUCUGGUGCCGCUGGAUAAGACUUGAGGAAUGUAGCUCCCUCGGGAGUGUUAUAGCCUCUUGUGAUGCAGCGAGCGCCGGGCGAGGUCCGCGCUUCGGCUAGGAUGCUGGCGUAAUGGUCGUAAUCCGCCCGUCUUGAAACACGGACCAAGGAGUCUAACAUCUAUGCGAGUGUUCGGGUGUCAAACCCCUACGCGUAAUGAAAGUGAACGGAGGUGAGAACCGCAAGGUGCAUCAUCGACCGAUCCUGAUGUCUUCGGAUGGAUUUGAGUAAGAGCAUAGCUGUUGGGACCCGAAAGAUGGUGAACUAUGCCUGAAUAGGGUGAAGCCAGAGGAAACUCUGGUGGAGGCUCGCAGCGGUUCUGACGUGCAAAUCGAUCGUCAAAUUUGGGUAUAGGGGCGAAAGACUAAUCGAACCAUCUAGUAGCUGGUUCCUGCGA
rnacentral:rRNA from 1 species